UCCUUGGCAGUCCAGCGGCUAAGACUCUGCACUUCCAGUGCAGGGGACCCAGGUUCAAUCCCUGGUCAGGGAA
rnacentral:tRNA from 1 species